GCAAUGAAUAAACAGUCGCAUUUUGGGACAAGACCCUUCUUCAGGACUGGAAACACGAUGCCAGAAUAAGGAGGCAGGAAGAGGACAAGCAAGAAGGAAUAGUAACCAGAUCAGAGGGUCACAGAGACUCAGCAAAACAAAGAUCUGGGAAUUCAGAUUCGCUUCCACCUUCAUAUUGGAGGUGAAGGACCUACUGAAUUUGACCUUCAGGCACACUGAGGUUUCGGAAUACAACCACCAGAGAAAUGCAGGCAGAAAUCAUGAAGCUGCUCUCAUUGGAAAGGAAGGACAGCAUACAAUCCCUACUGCACUGCAGGCCAAAUUAACAGGGCUUCGUGUGAGGCCCCCAUCCAACCGCAUCCAAGAUACAGAACAGCAGACAUAAUGGAAAUAGCUUCCUUCUAGUAUCAAAGCCUUUGCUCCUUGGGUUCCUGCCAUUCUAAGAUGGGGCCAGAAAGAGAAAUGCAGUUGAGAAUGGGUGGGAAACUUUUAUGGGGAGACUACUGGGGAGGUUGACUGUUAGUGGGCAACUGAAACUUUGGUAUCAUCCAUUGUUGGCCGUGGAGUUGGGAAUGCAGUCAAUAAGACAGAUGAAAAUGUCACUUAUAAAAAAAAACACUGCCUUGAAAAAAACUUGGUAUUUCAGGAAAAGGUCAGGCCUCUUUAAACUGACAUCCAACUGGAGAACACACUGUUUCACAAGUAAUCUCAACAAUACAUGGCUGUUCACUGCACAGGCCCAGUGGUUUUCAUUUCUGCAGAUUCGAAUUUAUUACAAUAUUGAAACAUACAGUGAAAUGCAUCAUUUAUGUUAACAACCAACACACCCAAGGUUACGUUGGGGGCAGCCCGCAAAUACCACCGCACAUUCUGAUGCCAACAAAGCAUGUCUCAGUAGAUCAGCAGAAACAGAAUACAACAGGUGACAAAACAGCAAAAGAAACACAUGUGGGAGGUACCAGAAGCGCAUUACUUGUGGUUAAAGUAAUUCAUUGCAGGCAACAAUCAGUACAAGAGAGUUACUUGUGUGCUAAAUAUAGCAUUUUGAUAUUUUUGGGGCUGUGUACUGUUACGCCUGCAGCCCCCUCCUUUUUGAGAUUCGCAGGAUCACUAUUGAUUUGGGUCAGGAGAUCCAGGAAAUGAGAGACGUUUGGAAUGUCUUGACCACCACCCCCCCCCCCCCCGGCGAUAUAAAGCUAUGGGACACGGCCAUUGUCUCUUGGAGACAGACUUGUGUAUUACAAUACUGUGCUUCGUGGAAGCCAUCAGGCAAAGUGGGCUGGUUGAGGGAGGGAUUGCAUCACCCCCAACCUGAUUGACAUCUGAGACCCUGUGAGUCAGGAUAAAAGAGGGUCUGUGGGAACAGCCCCUCAGAUGCACCAGAAGAAACGCUAGCGAUCCUGUAAUAGCGGAAGCCGGUGGGGAGGUCAGGUGCGUUCAGUUCCAUUUGCCCUGGAACCGGUGUCCUUUCCCACGGAAGAACGGUUUUUAGCUAACAACGGGGAAAUCAACUCCCAAAGACUUUCGAAGGAUUGACAUCAUAAAAGGAAUUGGCAAGUUUUAACCCGUCUUUCUCUCCAACCAAAACGCUGCAGCUUGAAUGAACUAACAGUGACUUUUAUAUUUCCAUCGGACAAUCCAUUAUCCCCUAGACAACGAUGGAGCUAUUUCUUAUUGAUUCUUAUUAUACCCACGCUUUUAGAUUUAGUAUUGACGACGUAUAUUAUCUGUAUGUUUGCACUGAUAUUAUUUUGUGUAUUUUUAUCAAUAAAUACUGUUAAAAUAGUACCAUCAGACUUCAACGGACCUCUCUAUCUUUGCUGGUAAGUGACCCAGUUACUGGGUUCGUAACAGCACUCAAUAAAAAACAUGAUAAUGGCCUUU